UACGGGGGGGGGCAAGCGUUGUUCGGAAUUACUGGGCGUAAAGGGCUCGUAGGCGGCCAACUAAGUCAGACGUGAAAUCCCUCGGCUUAACCGGGGAACUGCGUCUGAUACUGGAUGGCUAGAGGUUGGGAGAGGGAUGCGGAAUUCCAGGUGUAGCGGUGAAAUGCGUAGAUAUCUGGAGGAACACCGGUGGCGAAGGCGGCAUCCUGGACCAACACUGACGCUGAGUGAGCGAAAGCCAGGGGAGCAAACGGG
rnacentral:rRNA from 1 species